AUUGAACGCUGGCGGAAUGCUUUACACAUGCAAGUCGAACGGCAGCACGGACUUCGGUCUGGUGGCGAGUGGCGAACGGGUGAGUAAUGUAUCGGAACGUGCCCAGUCGUGGGGGAUAACGUAGUGAAAAUUACGCUAAUACCGCAUACGAUCUAUGGAUGAAAGCGGGGGAUCGCAAGACCUCGCGCGAUUGGAGCGGCCGAUAUCAGAUUAGGUAGUUGGUGGGGUAAAGGCCCACCCAGCCAACGAUCUGUAGAUGGUCUGAGAGGACGACCAGCAACACUGGAACUGAGACACGGUCCAGACUCCUACGGGAGGCAGCAGUGGGGAAUUUUGGACAAUGGGCGAAAGCCUGAUCCAGCCAUUCCGCGUGCAGGAUGAAGGCCCUCGGGUUGUAAACUGCUUUUGUACAGAACGAAAAGGUUUCUACUAAUACUAGGAGCUCAUGACGGUACUGUAAGAAUAAGCACCGGCUAACUACGUGCCAGCCGCCGCCGUAA
rnacentral:rRNA from 1 species